rnacentral:tRNA from 1 species
GCCCUCUUAGCUCAGGGGUAGAGCAACCGCCUUGUAAGCGGUAGGUCGUGCGUUCAAAUCGUACAGGGGGCACCA